rnacentral:rRNA from 1 species
UACGGAGGGGGGCUAGCGUUGUUCGGAAUUACUGGGCGUAAGCGCGCGUAGGCGGCUUUGUAAGUUAGAGGUGAAAGCCCGGGGGCUCAACUCCGGAAUUGCCUUUAAGACUGCAUCGCUAGAAUCGUGGAGAGGUAAGUGGAAUUCCGAGUGUAGAGGUGAAAUUCGUAGAUAUUCGGAAGAAACACCAGUGGCGAAGGCGACUUGCUGGACACGGUAUUGACGCUGAGGUGCGAA